GGGGCAUUAGUGAUGAGUUGAUAAAAAAUUGUUAUCCUUACAUUUUGAUUUGUAGUGAAGAACAUCAUGGGAAUUUAUUACUUUAAAGAUGCUC